rnacentral:sRNA from 1 species
ACACAGGAAAGGAGGUGGUCCGAGAAUUGAUUGGCUUAUGGACAUGUGAGGUGGCUGCGCGCUAAGCAGCGCCAGGCAGGAAAGAGCUGGCAUCGCUUGCUAGUGAAUUCCCCGCAGUCACCCGGCCCCCGAGCCCCCGGUCUGUCCAACCAGGAACUUAGGCUCGGGGGCUGUCCAUU